ACUCAAAGGAAUUGACGGGGGCCCGCACAAGCGGAGGAACAUGUGGUUUAAUUCGAUGAUACGCGAGGAACCUUACCCGGGCUUGAAAGUUAGUGCUAUCUGCCGAAAGGCGGAGUCCCUUCGGGGCACAAAACUAGGUGCUGCAUGGUUGUCGUCAGCUCGUGCCGUGAGGUGUCGGGUUAAGUCCCAUAACGAGCGCAACCCUUACCGUCAGUUGCCAGCGGAUAAUGCCGGGAACUCUGACGGAACUGCCGGUGUAAACCGUGAGGAAGGUGGGGAUGACGUCAAAUCAGCACGGCCCUUACGUCCGGGGCGACACACGUGUUACAAUGGACGGUACAGAGGGCCGCUACCCCGCGAGGGGAUGCUAAUCUCUAAAGCCGUUCUCAGUUCGGAUCGGAGGCUGAAACUCGCCUCCGUGAAGUUGGAUUCGCUAGUAAUCGCGCAUCAGCCAUGGCGCGGUGAAUACGUUCCCGGGCCUUGUACACACCGCCCGU
rnacentral:rRNA from 1 species